rnacentral:lncRNA from 1 species
UUUGGCUCAUGAUGACUAUAUAAGUGAUGUGGUGUCAACUCACUAAUUUGUUUGAUUGAUUAGGAACUAAGGCCGAAAGGCUUGAACGCAUGUUUUAUACUCAUUUUAUAUGUGUCUUUUAUAUUUAUGUUUAGGUGUGAUGCAUUAUCUUGUGGGAAUUUUGGAUGACAUUUAAAACCUAUUUUAGGGACUUUUAGCAUGCAUUGCCACGCAAGAACAUAAAUGGCGGCUAAUAGCCAUAAGUCAUUUAAAAAAUAAAUUGGGUAGGAGUCUUAGUGUGGCUCGUUGUAUGAAUAAUCAAAGGUCGACCCCAAGACCAUUCUUGAUUUGCUUGAAUAUUCUUC